rnacentral:lncRNA from 7 species
UUGUUUAGUAAAACCAUAUGAAGAGGCCUCCCUAAAAGCCCUCAACCUCAGACACUAUUUUUUCCACUGUAUUCCAAAGAAAAGCAGAGGAAAACUCUAGACCUCAGGGCAGGGUAGUCAUUUGCUUUCCAAUUAAUAUACCGGCACACAGGCUGUGGGAUCAAACUGUCGUCUUUUUGCCCUGUAUGAAAAUCUUCAACCCGGAUCUCCACGUUCCAGCAUGGAGCAAAAAAGUAGAGAACUACUGUGAAAAUUAAAAGCCACUGUUCUCCUUUUGAGGUUUCUCCUGUCAGCUGUAGGCUGGAUGACGUGCCUCAUGAGCUACUGUUACACACCAGAGGUCUUAAUGGUUUUGGCUACUGCAGAAUGUGGUUUGUUCUGUCUGUUUACUGAGAGCAUUUGGCCACGUGGGAAAAGGAAGAAGAUGCUUGUAAAGAUGUGAUGGAUCUUUGCUUGAGUUUAUUCUUAAUUAUAGGAUACUGUAAUCACAUUAAGACUGUUUCAUCAUGUGACUACCUGAAAGAUUAAUGCUGUCUGACCUCAGAACUGCCUGCAAUUGCACAGCAUGAAACUGGGAACUUUGCUAUUAUGAACUAUAAUGUUUUCAUAUGAAAAUAUUUUAUUAUUAUUAUUUCAGUUUAUUUAUUUUAACUUUCUACGACAAACAUGUAAUUUAGUAGUUUAAUUAAAAUGUCUGGAAGUAAUGGCCUUGGCACCUUUCUGGCUGUCAUCUAUACGACUACUACAUUUGAAUAAUGCUUCUGUAUGUAGACAAUGUCUUAGUCUGCUAGCAAAGGAUUGAUCUACUCUGUCCUGUUGAUAGAGCUUCAUUAUCGCCUUGCAUUCUUAAGGAGGAUGGUACUGCGUCCAUCCAGAGAACCUAGAUGUAUGGACUUGUUCUUAGAAAAAUUUAUUUUGUUAUUUUACUUAUAUAAAUGGCAACUUGCAGCCAUCCAUACAAUGAUUUUUCCUGGUAUGAGUGUAUACUUGUCUGGUGCCUAAUCUGGUUUUGUUAGGGAAGGAUUAUUUGAGAAGCACGCACUUUUGUAAGGACUUUGGUUAAACUGAAUACUGCUGGCAAGUAGUCUAGGAGCUUCUGAGCUUCAAUGGAAUAUGAAUGUAUGUUUCACAUGUGACUGGGGCACAAAAAUUGGAGCAAAGAUGCAGGUCUAGAACAGCCUAGAAGCUUUGUAUUCUCUGGUGGAAAGCUGACAGGGCACAAGAUUAAGAUAGGAGUGAGUGUCACUUCUGAGGACAGACUAUGUUUUAAGCCUCUUUGAUGUACACGUAUUAGAAGUAAUAAAAAUUGAAUGUUUGUAAGAGUAAUGCCUAUUAUAUCUGAAUUUAUCCAUCAGCCCUAGAUAUCAUACUCUACAUCAAGGUUGUAUCAGGAGUAAAUAAGGAAUUCCUUCUCACAGCAACUGGCCUACAAGUAGGACUUCCACCUGUAGAGUCUCUAGAGCUAACUUUUAAACUAGAUAACUGAGUACAAAAGUCAGACAGCUGGAGGAGAUCAUUCUUAAAUUUGGGGCUGCUGCUUUCUUUACAGGAACAAAACUGCUGAAUUUAGAUCUCUAUCUCAGUAACAAAAUUAUUGAAAAUCUGAGAUGUAGAGUUUCUGUGCCCUGUCGUGAGAUGGGGACAGUCCUCUGAAAAUACGUUUAGUCCUUUCAAAUUGUAUUAUUUCAUCACCAAAUUAGCUGGAAAAGAAUGCACUAUUUGAAAAAAAUAAUGUGCACAGUUAAUGGAUAUCCAGGCUGAACUUUGGAUCCAGAGGAUCUUAAAAUCCUUAUGAAAUGUCAGCUUAAUGUCAGUGUCUGGCUGCUAAUUGCUUGUUUAGUAUUGAAAUACAAUCUUGAUUAUAGAUUUCAGUAUUUAAAUUGACAUAAAUGUGAGAGAAAUAAUAAUGGGGCUAGUAAUGGUGAAUAGAUCAGGUAACCCAAGAAAGUAUAACCUUAUUCUAUGUAGCAGCUAAAAUCAGAACAAAUUUCCUUACCACACCUCCCAAAGCCCUCCUCUUUAAAAUGAUUAUUAUCUAUGCUUUCAGUUGGCAAUGCAUUUCUCAAUGUCCAUUGCUCUGUCUCAUUUGAGAUAGUAUAAUUCAUUUUUAUGAAGGAAAUACAUAAUAAAGGUGAUUUAU